AAAGGACAUCAGACCAGAUUAAAUCAAGUAAAAAAGAUAAGAAAUCCUUUGAUAGUGAUGACAGAUCUCCAUUUAAAGCAAGAAAAGAAAAAAGAAGUGUAUAUUCCUUUACAAGUGAGGAAUUUUCUCCAUUAAAAGCUAGGAAAGCUAGGAAAUCCUUUACAAGUGAGGACAGUUCUCCAUUGAAAGCUAGGAAAGCUAGGAAAUCCUUUACAAGU